rnacentral:ncRNA from 21 species
AUAAUUUCAGCAGCCUAACCGGCUGCUUUUUUAUUGCCUAAAAACGCUGAUUGAUCUAGUUAAACUUGCUCAACAAUUAA